rnacentral:rRNA from 1 species
CCCGCACAAGCGGUGGAGCAUGUGGUUUAAUUCGAAGCAACGCGAAGAACCUUACCAGGUCUUGACAUCCCCUGACAACCCGAGAGAUCGGGCGUUCCCCUUCGGGGGACAGGGUGACAGGUGGUGCAUGGUUGUCGUCAGCUCGUGUCGUGAGAUGUUGGGUUAAGUCCCGCAACGAGCGCAACCCUCGACCUUAGUUGCCAGCAUUCAGUUGGGCACUCUAAGGUGACUGCCGGCUAAAAGUCGGAGGAAGGUGGGGAUGACGUCAAAUCAUCAUGCCCCUUAUGACCUGGGCUACACACGUGCUACAAUGGGCGGUACAAAGGGUCGCGAACCCGCGAGGGGGAGCCAAUCCCAAAAAGCCGCUCUCAGUUCGGAUUGCAGGCUGCAACUCGCCUGCGUGAAGUCGGAAUCGCUAGUAAUCGUGAAUCAGAAUGUCACGGUGAAUACGUUCCCGGGCCUU